rnacentral:rRNA from 1 species
UGUAAGCGUAUACCAAAGUUGUUGCAGUUAAAACGCUCGUAGUCGGAAUUUGGCAGUUCCGGAUGUGUGCACGUCGUGUGCGCACUUCGCGGGGAUUGCUUUUGUGGUCUUGCGUAGGAUGAGGCACUUUUAUUAGUGAACGUCCUCACGCAACCACUUUUUACUGUGAGUAAAUCGGAGUGCUCAAAGCAGGCAUUUGCCGUGAAUGUAUUAGCAUGGAAUAAUAGAAUAGGACUUGGUUCUAUUUUGUUGGUUUGUUGGGACUGAGUAAUGAUUAAGAGGGACAGUUGGGGGCAUUUGUAUUUCGGUGCUAGAGGUGAAAUUCUUAGAUUACCGAAAGACAAACUGCUGCGAAAGCGUCUGCCAAGGAUGUUUUCAUUGA